GUGCGCUCUCCUCCCUCGCCCCUUUCUUCCCUCUCUCCUCUCUCUCUCUCCCUCCAUCCCUCUCUUUCCUUCUCAGUUUGUGACUGACCCAGCAGCCCCGUCCCCCGUCUGCCACAAGCAGUCCACCUCCUGGUGCUGUGUGCUGCGUGCCAGCCGCUGCUCCCGCUGAGUGGAGACUCUGGCACCAGUGCCCACUGCGCUCUGCCUGCCGGUGGUGUCUGGAUUUCUAUAGGAAUCCCAGGAGGGUCUUACUGGAGGGUUGAGAGCCACCUGAUUGAAGGCGUUUGCAGUCAGAGUAAAGACGGCUGCCGCAGCAUGAACCCCUGAGCUGAUGAGUCUUAUUAUAGCCCGGCUGGCGGAAGACAGAGUGCUGCUAUUCACCUCUGCGUGGGCGUCGGUGGUGCAGGGGGAAGCAGCAGGCCAUCCAGCGGCUCACACCCUACGCGGCUGCAGCUGCCAAGGGCCUGGCCCCUGCCUCCCUCGGGCCAUGGAAUGCCCAGAUGGGAGACCAGGUUGCCAUGAAAACAUCUGAGUGAUCAACAUACUCGGGAGGCAACAA
rnacentral:lncRNA from 10 species